rnacentral:rRNA from 1 species
ACCUCAGCUCAAGCAAGAAAACCCGCUGAACUUAAGCAUAUCAAUAAGCGGAGGAAAAGAAACUAACAAGGAUUCCCCUAGUAACGGCGAGUGAAGAGGGAAAAGCUCAAAUUUUAAAUCUACCUGGUUCCCAGGUCGAAUUGUAUUUUGAAGAAUCGAUAUCGGUGUUGAGGUCUGGUUCAAGUUCUUUGGAACAAGACAUCAUGGAGGGUGAGAAUCCCGUGCAUGAUCAGACCAAGAUACUUUAUAUUCGUUUUCUAAGAGUCGAGUUGUUUGGGAAUGCAGCUCAAAUUGGGUGGUAGACUUCACCUAAGGCUAAAUAUCAGCGAGAGACCGAUAGCGAACAAGUACUGUGAAGGAAAGAUGAAAAGCACUUUGAAAAGAGAGUUAAAUAGUACGUGAAAUUGUUGAAAGGGAAACGAUUGAAGUCAGUCAUGCUAGUGAAAAUUCAGUUUGACGGGUUUUGGGUUUAGGAGUAAGAGAUAGGGUCAAACCAUCUCUCUUUUAAACUUGGGAUUUGUCGGAUGCACUUUUUCUUUGGCAGGUCAGCGUCGAUUUCGGGGGUUGUAAAAUACUUGGGGGAAAGUAGCUCUGCUUCGGGAGAGUGUUAUAGACCUUGGGAGAUGCAGCCCGUGGGAUCGAGGAUUGCAGCAAAUGCCUUUGGCUUGUCUUCUGAUCUUUGAUUGUUACCUCGUUUAUGACAACAUUCUUGCCAUCGAUGAGUACUAGUGGUUAUGGGUUAGAAUGAUCAAAAAUUUGCUAAGGAUGCUGACGUAAUGGCUUUAAACGACCCGUCUUGAAACACGGACCAAGGAGUCUAACAUAUGUGCGAGUGUUU